UCCUUCAAAUGCGGUCGACGAAUGCGGCCUUCUUUUCGCCUGAAUGAAGGAUGGGUCGGGUGUAUCCUUCAAUAGGUAGCAUUUCCCAAGAUGCCUUGCGGGCCGGCUGGCAGAAAAACUUAAAAACAAUGGCGGACAGUGAAUCGGGAGCUGUCGGAGAGGAUUGCGCAUAUAAAUGACCAAAAGAGAAAACCAGGGAAUUUAUUAAGCUUAGGGCGGAGAUGGACCACAUGAUCACCGGAGCAAAGUAUUCGGCGGCUGUGGCAUGGAGACUAUUCUGGAGAAAAUGGGCAUCCAGGGGAAGGUGCCAGCGAUGAGCUUCUGGAGCUGAUCUGGGAGGACAUGAGGCUGCAGAGCAGCAGAGAGCACAGGAGAGAAGGAAGAACUUUGACAGCUUUUUACUUUGCUAGAAAAAAAUGGUUAAUGAAGAUUAAACAUGUACAUAUAAAAGAAAUAUCUAAAUAAAAUCAGUUCUGCAUUAAA